UACGUAGGGGGCAAGCGUUGUCCGGAUUUAUUGGGCGUAAAGAGCGUGUAGGCGGCCAGGUAGGUCUGCUGUGAAAACUCGAGGCUUAACCUCGAGAUGUCGGCGGAAACCAUCUGGCUAGAGUCCGGAAGAGGAGAGUGGAAUUCCUGGUGUAGCGGUGAUAUGCGCAGAUAUCAGGAAGAACACCCGUGGCGAAGGCGGCUCUCUGGGACGGUACUGACGCUGAGACGCGAAAGCGUGGGGAGCGAACAGG
rnacentral:rRNA from 1 species